CUGCUCAGAGCAGUGUACUGGCAGGGUAAGACUGAUCGUGGCAGAGCAGAGAUGUAGUGCAGCUUGCUGGGACUCCGUGGUCAGUCGUCUGUCACUUUUACCGGGGAUCAUUUGUCCAACAUCAACACGGAAUGGGAAAGACCGGAUUUAUUGUUUUGCAUAGUUACACUGCAUGAAUGUGUCGCGUAAUGCGACUGAGAAGAGCUGCCUUCGGGGGGAAUUAUUUAUGGUUCGGGACGGUUUUGUUGGAGUAGCUAGUUGCUAGCGCUGGGCUAGCGACUCUGCUGGCUACUUCGAACGUAUUUUCGCAAGGAUGCUACGGUGGAUACGACAGCAGCUGGGCUUUGACCCACCUCAUCAGAGUGACACGAGGACGGUAUAUGUAGCAAACCGAUUCCCCCAGCAUGGCCACUACAUACCGCAACGCUUUGCUGACAACCGAAUCAUCUCCUCAAAGUACACAAUUUGGAAUUUUGUCCCGAAGAAUCUGUUCGAGCAGUUCAGAAGGAUAGCCAACUUCUAUUUUCUCAUUAUCUUCCUUGUACAGUUAAUGAUAGACACCCCAACUUCCCCAGUCACAAGUGGUCUGCCUCUCUUCUUUGUCAUCACAGUAACUGCCAUUAAACAGGGCUACGAGGAUUGGCUGAGACACAAGGCGGACAAUGAGGUGAAUGGGGCUCCAGUGUUUGUGGUUCGCAGUGGAAGUCUGGUCCAGACAAGAUCCAAGAACAUCAGGGUGGGGGAUAUUGUUCGUGUGGCUAAAGAUGAGACGUUUCCUGUUGACCUGGUGCUGCUGUCAUCAGAUCGUGCAGAUGGCACCUGUCACAUCACCACAGCCAGCCUCGAUGGAGAGACCAACCUUAAGACUCACUACUCUGUUGCGGAGACAGCAGUGUGUCAGUCAGUGUCCCAGCUGGAGUCUCUGCAGGCUGUGGUAGAGUGUCAGCAACCGGAUGCUGACCUGUACAGGUUUGUUGGUCGGAUGACAGUGACUCAGCACGGAGAGGAGAUAGUCAGACCGCUGGGCCCAGAGAAUUUGCUGCUUCGAGGAGCCAGGUUAAAAAAUACCAAAGAGAUUUUUGGUGUGGCUAUUUACACAGGAAUGGAGUCCAAGAUGGCCCUCAACUAUAAGUGCAAGUCACAGAAACGUUCUGCAGUAGAGAAGUCCAUGAAUACCUUCCUAAUCAUCUACCUGGGCAUCCUCCUGUUCGAGGCCAUCCUCAGCACGAUCCUGAAGUAUGCCUGGCAAGCCGAGGAGGAGUGGGACGAGCCCUUCUACAACCGAAAGACUGAACAGGAGAGAAACAGCAGUCCGAUCUUGAAGUUCAUCUCAGACUUCUUGGCAUUUCUGGUCCUCUACAACUUCAUCAUCCCAAUCUCACUCUACGUUACUGUGGAAAUGCAGAAGUUCCUCGGCUCCUUUUUCAUUGGCUGGGAUUUGGACCUUUAUCAUGAAGAGAGUGACCAGAAAGCUCAGGUCAACACCUCUGACCUUAAUGAGGAGCUCGGGCAGGUGGAGUAUGUCUUCACAGAUAAGACAGGUACGCUUACAGAAAAUGAGAUGCACUUCCGGGAGUGUUCAGUUAACGGAACCAAGUAUCGGGAAGUAAAUGGCAAACUGGUACCUGAGGGAAUGACUGAUGACGCACCAGAUGGUUCCACGCCUAACCUGAUUGGAGAUGAAUUGUUAUUUCUCAAGGCGGUGUCGUUGUGUCACACAGUUCAGAUCAGCUAUGACCAGCCUGACUGCCUGGUUGGGGGAGGAGACCCAUUCUCUCAUGCCAACGGUUUCUCCUCCAGUCACAUGGAAUACUAUGCCUCGUCACCGGAUGAGAAAGCUUUAGUAGAGGCAGCAAAGAGGAUUGGAGUAGCCUUCCUUGGUACCAGUGGAGAUACCAUGGAGAUCAAAACUUUCGGCAAGUCAGAGAGAUAUAAACUCCUCCAUGUAUUAGAGUUUGAUGCCAACCGCAGGAGAAUGAGCGUCAUACUGCAGACUCCCUCAGGAGGAUAUGUGCUGUUCACCAAGGGCGCAGAGUCGGCCAUCUUGCCUUUUGCUACAGGUGGAGAGAUAGAAAAGACGAGACUGCAUGUUGAUGAGUUUGCUUUGAAAGGUUUGCGGACCUUGGUGAUAGCAUGUCGCCACUUCAGCCCUGAGGAGUACAUUGAAGUGGACAGGCAUCUGAACGCCGCCCGCACCGCGCUGCAGCAGAGGGAGGAGAGACUACAGGAGGCCUUCAGCUACAUUGAGAGAGACCUGCAGCUGCUAGGAGCAACGGGGGUUGAGGACAAACUCCAAGACAAAGUCCAGGAGACCAUUGAGGCUCUGCGGCUGGCAGGGAUCAAAGUAUGGGUGCUGACAGGGGACAAACAUGAGACAGCAGUCAGCGUCAGUCUGUCUUGUGGCCACUUUCACAGAACCAUGAACAUCUUGGAGCUUUUGCAGCAACGUUCGGAUAACGAGUGUGCUGAGCAGCUCCGCAUACUGGCCAGGAGGAUAAAAGAGGAUCAUGUCAUACAGCACGGGUUAGUCGUGGAUGGAGCCAGUCUAUCCUUAGCAUUGAGGGAACACGAGAAGCUCUUUAUGGAAGUGUGUAAAAACUGUUCAGCUGUGCUGUGCUGUCGCAUGGCCCCACUGCAGAAAGCAAAGGUGGUUCGCCUUUUAAAAACAUCUCCAGAGAAACCCAUCACACUAGCUAUUGGAGAUGGAGCCAAUGAUGUCAGUAUGAUACAGGAAGCUCACGUGGGCAUAGGUAUCAUGGGGAAGGAGGGUCGUCAGGCCGUGAGAAACAGUGACUAUGCAAUUGCCAGGUUUAAGUUCCUGGCCAAACUUCUGCUGGUCCACGGUCACUUCUACUACAUUCGAAUAGCUACACUUGUACAGUACUUUUUCUACAAGAAUGUGUGUUUUAUCACACCCCAGUUUUUAUACCAAUUCUUCUGUCUGUUUUCACAACAAACUCUGUAUGACAGUGUUUAUCUGACACUGUACAACAUCUGCUUCACCUCGCUUCCCAUCCUGGUGUACAGUCUGUUUGAGCAGCUGGUCCAUCCACACGUAUUGCAGAAUAAACCUGGCCUGUACAGGGACAUCAGCAAGAAUGCUCUGUUGUCUUUCCGGACAUUCCUGUACUGGACCCUCUUGGGCUUCUGUCACGCCUUUGUCUUCUUUUUCGGAUCCUACAUACUGAUGGGAGAAGACACAACACUUAUGGGGAAUGGACAGAUGUUUGGAAACUGGACGUUUGGAACGCUGGUCUUUACUGUCAUGGUCAUCACAGUCACAUUAAAGCUUGCUUUAGAGACUCAUUUCUGGACGUGGAUGAACCAUUUUGUGACGUGGGGUUCGAUUGCCUUCUACUUCAUUUUCUCUCUCUUCUAUGGAGGCAUCAUCUGGCCAUUCCUCCACACCCAGGAUAUGUACUUUGUAUUCGUGCAGCUGCUGUCCAGCGGAUCAGCCUGGUUUGCCAUCAUCAUUAUCGUCAUAACUUGCCUCUUUCCUGAUGUGGUGAAGAAGGUCUUCUAUAGACACCUGCAGCCCACCAGCACACAGAAGAGUCAGAUGUAUUCCAACCGUGUGGCAAUAGGUGAUGACUUCAUCGCUCUGCAGCCUCUGUCCAGAGCCAAGAGCCAGCUGGGCAAAAUUAGUCUCUAUCAGCCCCCCAGGCGCAGGCCCUCAGCUGUGUGGAGUCCCUGUGCUGCUACCAACAUGGGCAGAGCGGCUGUUCCCGCCUGGCCCGCCUCCUGGAGCAAAUAACUGGGCAGUGCCAGGCCAGCACCAGCCAUUGCCACUCAUCCAGCCGCAGCAACAGGUCUUGGAGCGACACGGAGAACUUCUACUCCAACGAUCGCAGCAUCCUGACGCUGUCACCCAUCGAGGCCACCCACUGCUGACUCCCAGAGGCCACUGACUGUCACGCACAGAGCAGGGGGAGAGCUACCACUCCACCAUGAAUCAUAAUCACACCCCCACCCACCCUGCCACCAUUUUAUAAACCUACUUCAGUUUAAAGUCAGUGCAUUCUCAGCUGGACGCAGAUGGGAGCUGUCGCAUUAUGUGAAACCAAAGGACUCGGCUCAUUGCAGCAGGCUGAUUUAUUCUUCCAUAAUUUGCUUCCUCGAAUGGAUCAGUUCUUAGAAGAAAGGUUGGCAGAGGAGCUGCAACAUGGAAGGAAAUGGAGCAAGUCAGCAUUCAGUUAUCAGAAUCUUUGCUGCUUACAGGAUGUUUGCAAGUCCUGCAAAACUACCUGAAUAUAUCUUAUUUAAAUUCCCUUCAAAAGCUGAAGAAGACGUAUCAGCUCACAGGUGCUGCCCUCUGAGAUCAGCCCAGGUACAUGAACUGUCGCGCAGCUAUUUAUUAUUCAAUUCCAGUUCAGUUACCAAACUUAGUUUUUUCUUCCAACUGCCCUAAAAAUGACUGCUCUGUCUGACAUAUCUGUAAACAUAGAUUGGAGAUUCCUGACCAUCUCAGCUUUUAGCCACAAAUUUUAGCUUAUGUCAGGCAUCAGUCCCGCUCGAAGCAUUUCAGCCUCGGGACUGUAACCUCACCAAGCUGGUUUGGAUGAUACCUGACUAAUGUGGCUUGUAGACACCAGCAUCGCCCAUGUAGCACCAGGACUGAAGCGCUGCACACUCAUACUCAGAGGUUUCAGCUAGCAGCUGAGGCAUGACAUCACGUUGCUUCCCUGAGCUUCCUCUUUAAGCUGUUGCCUCGCUGCACCGUCAUUUCUCACUCAGAUGGAAAGGGAAAAAGCUAGACCACCCACAGCCCUGUAGCUUUCUGAUGACAUCUAGACUUGUUUCCCUCGAAUUUUCACUUCUUGCUUGAUGCUGUGCAAAGAAUUUCAUCUCUAUCAUGGAACCAAAGACCAAAGGAUGCCGACUGGAGUUUAAAAGAUGUUUAUUUUUGUGCCUGUUUGUACAGAAGCUUAUAUUGUUAAGAAGACUAUUAUUAUUGUUUGUGCUGCUUCUAUCGCCUGACUGUUCAGGCCUCUGUCUCGGUGGUGCGUUGCUCUGAAGGAGGCCGGAUGGGGUCUGUUUAAAAAGCCAUACAUUUUCAAGAGGUUAUAUUCUUCAUAGAUGAUUGAAGGUACUGCAGGUGGAAGCUGUUUGAGCCUGUUGUCGUUGUCACUUUGUUACAAAACUUGUUCCCUUAAAUGCCUUUUCUCAUUCAGCCUGGUUAGCAAAGACAUCUGAGCAUUAAAGGCCAUGAUGCUCAGGGAAUAUUCGAGUUUUUAUAGCAUCUGUCCAAACAGACUUGAAGGUAAAAUAUCCCCUCUCAGCUGCAUACAAAUAUUCCCUGAGUAUCAGAUCAGGUAUUAAAACAGGUAUUACAAUUUUAUUUCAGUGAGACAAAGACAGCUUUAAUGGCAAGAUGCUUUUCCAAACCACGGCUGAUGUGUCGACCCUGACAGCAGAAUGUCUCUAUCUGUAGAGAGAUAGAUGUAUCAGAUAAAUAUAAUUCAGCUUCUGUAAAGAUGAAAAGCAGAGUGUUUGCACAGUUCACACAUUGAAAUCACAUUUUUUUCAUUUUCUCAAAUCAUCGCUCGUCUCUCACCAUCAAAAUCAUCUGAAUCAUUUUUUUGCUGUUUUUCUCGUCAUGUGUGUUUCUCUCCACAUGCUGAUGAAGUGUGUAUGUGUGGAAGUGCUGCAGUGUUGUCUUGCACGGCAGCCAUGUUGGUUGAAGGAAGACUGGUACGUGAGCCGUUGUACGACCUCAGUGGCCACACGCUGCCGCAGGUCAAAGGUCAGCUGUUCCCCUUUGGCGUUUGUCCUCUUCUUAAGAAAAAAAAAAUGGUGGAACGAAGAAAAGUGUGACAGUUCUUCUUUUUGGGAGAAUUCAGUUGAAGGUGACUGACAGAAGUUUAAGGCAGAAACCUUUAGAGACAACCGUUUUAAACUUGACAUCAACAGCCACACGACAAUGACUCGCACAUGCCUCAGCUCACACAGGGAACAUUCAGAGUCACAGAUGUUUCUACUGAAAAUCAGAGUUAAUGUUUUUGUCAGUCAGCUCGUUGAGUAUUCUAUUUUCUAAAAUGGUACCUGUUACCUCUUUGAUGCAUACUUGGCCUGUUGUAUCCUUUCUGUUCAUACAGGUGACAAUGAAAGUGUCUAUUUAUUAUUGCAAUACUUUUUUUCCUGUGUUUGUGUUGAACUUUUCUUACAUAUCAAUAUAAAUGUGUAUGAUGGCCUGAAUGCAGCAACUUCCCAAAAUAUUUUACUUGAUGUUAGACAUGUUAUCGGGAGGUUGAACCUCUGUGGAAGCUAUUUUCUUGUGUGACAUGAAAGGUGUCGCUGCAGCUGUCGGCUGCGAGCCUGAAUGUUAGUUUGUUACAGGACAUUUAAAAACUCCCUCAGUUAGAUCUCUCCAUCCAACAACAGUUCUUUUUAACCAUGUUGAGCUCAUUUAUGUUGUUUAACUGUCACCUGGAAAAAGAUAUAAUGAUUAAACACGAAGAUGUCAGUGGUGCGAAAUGUUCAUCCAAUCUCGGUGAAUAAACAUUGUUGAUGUCAAACCUAAAGAGGGUUUGCCAUCAAGAACAUUGAUUGGUUGAACAAUGUGACUUUAUUUUCCAUCCUAGAGACAAAAAAAAUCAACCAUAAUAAACAUAUGAUACCUUUAAUCUGUACCAGGAUUUUGCUAAAUACAUGUAAAUGCUGUUUAAAGGGGGCACGUCACCAGUUUUUACCCAUAAAGGUCAGUGGGCUCAUUGAGGCCAGACUCAGUCUGAUGUUAAUCUUGAGUAAUGCUUAAUCUGUAUCUUUGAAGCUUGAAAUGAGAGAUUUAAAUUCAGGAUAUAUCUUGGCCUCUGCUGCAUCAGUGUUGACCGCUCUUUUUUUUAAAUGCAAUACUAAAUCCAAUAAAACCCCUUUAAUACCUUUUAAAAAAGGUCAAAUUUGAUACAGCAGAGGAAGAUAUAUCCAGACAUAAGCACUAGAUCAUGCAACCUUCUCUGCCUGGUAAAUGUCAACAUCUUUCCACCUCCACGAGUGUCCAGCUCAACCUGAGAUUUUUAUUACUUUGAAGAGCUCCUUCAGAGCCACAGAAGACACAAUAAAAACAGUUUUCAUUAAA